UUUCCGUAGGUGAACCUGCGGAAGGAUCAUUAUUGUAUACCCGAGGUGCGAGGGCUGUCGCUGACCCGAAAGGUCGUGCACGCCCGGGUGCCCCCACACACAUCCAUCUCACCCCUAUGUGCACCACCGCGUGGGUCCCCCUUUGGCUUGUUCGGAGGGGGGCUUACGUUUUCACACAAACUUUGUAUGCAGUGUAGAAUGUAUUUUUUGUUUUUGCGAUCACGCAAUCAAUACAACUUUCAACAACGGAUCUCUUGGCUCUC
rnacentral:misc_RNA from 1 species